CCCGCGCGCGCUGUUUCCGGUGCAUCUCUCAGGCCUGCGGUCUCUCUCCCGUGUCUGGGGCGUCGUGGGCUGUGGCUGCCUUCCGCCGGGAUGGCCAGAAGUGCCCACUCGCUCGGUCUUGGAGCCAGAGCCGACCCGGUGCGGAGUUUCAGUCGCUGGAAGAAGAAACACAGCCACAGGCAGAGCCAGAAGAAGGAGUUAAGCAGGCAGCGGAAGAGGCCUCGCGGUAGGUACAGAGAGGAUGGAGAAGUGUUGUCAAUUUUGCUUCCCUCUGAAGAACAAGGGAUGGUGCAGCAGCUUCUCCAGAAAAAGGUACCUGUGAAUGAAAUCAAAAUAAAUCCAGAAAACUUAUAGAGAUGUAGAAGAAAUUUUAGCCCAUGAUCAAGAUUUAAAAGAAAGAGCCCAAAGGGUUUGUGAGCAAGAGAAAGGCUCUUGGAAGAAGGAGAUCAGGGAGUCUCUCUACUGUCUCAUCUUAUAAAGACAGCAGUUCUGUUGGACUAGGUUCUUGGAAUUAGAGCCUUAAGACACAAAUUUGGGUGAUACCAAGAAGCAAGAAAUGAGGAAAAGGAGCAACAGUGAAUUGGAAGAUGUGGGACCAACAAGCCAUCAUGGGAAGAAGGCCAAGUGGGAAGCCUUAGAGCCUUUGGAUACAGGCCUGUCUUUAGUAGCGGGAAGAACUGGUAUUACAGCAGUCAAGCUAACUACUUCCUGUGUCUGAGUCUUCCUUGAUACCACUGGACAUAUGUGGGCAAGAAGUUGAACAUUAUUAGCUUUGGGUAUGUGGGUUCCAUAUGUCCUAUUCCCAAAGGACACCUCUCCAAAGAGAAAUGAUCACAUCACUGAACUCUAUUCACAGGCUUUGUUUUGUAUGUGUCUUUCAUAUCUCCAAAGAAAUACUGUAAUGGACCUACUAUAAUGGAUCAGCCCUGAAAAAAGAAUAAGUAUUUUUAAAUUGAGAUAAUAAGUAAACAAACAUAUUUCCUAUAA